rnacentral:rRNA from 1 species
AUUGAACGCUGGCGGCAGGCCUAACACAUGCAAGUCGAACGGUAACAUGAAACAGCUUGCUGUUUCGCUGACGAGUGGCGGACGGGUGAGUAAUGUCUGGGAAACUGCCUGAUGGAGGGGGAUAACUACUGGAAACGGUAGCUAAUACCGCAUAACGUCGCAAGACCAAAGAGGGGGACCUUCGGGCCUCUUGCCAUCGGAUGUGCCCAGAUGGGAUUAGCUAGUAGGUGGGGUAACGGCUCACCUAGGCGACGAUCCCUAGCUGGUCUGAGAGGAUGACCGGCCACACUGGAACUGAGACACGGUCCAGACUCCUACGGGAGGCAGCAGUGGGGAAUAUUGCACAAUGGGCGCAAGCCUGAUGCAGCCAUGCCGCGUGUAUGAAGAAGGCCUUCGGGUUGUAAAGUACUUUCAGCGGGGAGGAAGGGAGUAAAGUUAAUACCUUUACUCAUUGACGUUACCCGCAGAAGAAGCACCGGCUAACUCCGUG